AGGGCGAUCUGGCUGCGACAUCUGUCACCCCAUUGAUCGCCAGGGUUGAUUUGGCUGAUCUGGCUGGCUAGGCGGGUGUCCCCUUCCUCCCUCACGGCUCCAUGAGCGUCCCUCCUGAAGCUGCACACUCGGUCGAAGAGGACGACCAUCCCCGAUAGCAGAGGACCGGUCCCUUGCUAGAACCUCCAAACAAUCUCUCAAGAGUUUCACGGACUUUCCUGCCUGGGCUGGUUU
ensembl:misc_RNA 7SK 7SK RNA